rnacentral:tRNA from 1 species
GAGCCCGUGGCUCAAUGGUAGAGCGUUCGACUCGAAUUCCAAAGGUCACGGGUUCGAUUCUCAGGUGUG